rnacentral:rRNA from 1 species
GCAUAUCAAUAAGCGGAGGAAAAGAAACCAACAGGGAUUGCCCUAGUAACGGCGAGUGAAGCGGCAACAGCUCAAAUUUGAAAUCUGGCCCUCGGGUCCGAGUUGUAAUUUGUAGAGGAUGCUUUUGGUGCGGUGCCUUCCGAGUUCCCUGGAACGGGACGCCAUAGAGGGUGAGAGCCCCGUCUGGUUGGACACCAAGCCUCUGUAAAGCUCCUUCGACGAGUCGAGUAGUUUGGGAAUGCUGCUCUAAAUGGGAGGUAUAUGUCUUCUAAAGCUAAAUACCGGCCAGAGACCGAUAGCGCACAAGUAGAGUGAUCGAAAGAUGAAAAGCACUUUGAAAAGAGAGUUAAAUAGUACGUGAAAUUGUUGAAAGGGAAGCGCUUGUGACCAGACUUGGGCUUGGUUAAUCAUCCAGGGUUCUCCCUGGUGCACUUGGCCGGCCCAGGCCAGCAUCAGUUUGCCGCGGGGGAUAAAGGCGUCGGGAAUGUGGCUCCCUCGGGAGUGUUAUAGCCCGGCGUGCAAUACCCUGCGGCGGACUGAGGUUCGCGCAUCUGCAAGGAUGCUGGCGUAAUGGUCAUCAGCGACCCGUCUUGAAACACGGACCAAGGAGUCGUCUUCGUAUGCGAGUGUUCGGGUGUCAAACCCCUACGCGUAAUGAAAGUGAACGCAGGUGAGAGCUUCGGCGCAUCAUCGACCGAUCCUGAUGUUCUCGGAUGGAUUUGAGUAAGAGCAUACGGGGCCGGACCCGAAAGAAGGUGAACUAUGCCUGUAUAGGGUGAAGCCAGAGGAAACUCUGGUGGAGGCUCGCAGCGGUUCUGACGUGCAAAUCGAUCGUCAAAUAUGGGCAUGGGGGCGAAAGACUAAUCGAACCUUCUAGUAGCUGGUUUCCGCCGA